rnacentral:rRNA from 1 species
GAGUUUGAUCAUGGCUCAGAUUGAACGCUGGCGGCAUGCUUUACACAUGCAAGUCGGACGGCAGCACAGAGAAGCUUGCUUCUUGGGUGGCGAGUGGCGAACGGGUGAGUAACGCAUCGGAACGUACCGAGUAGUGGGGGAUAACUGUCCGAAAGGAUGGCUAAUACCGCAUACGCUUUGAGAAGGAAAGCGGGGGAUCUUCGGACCUCGCGCUAUUCGAGCGGCCGAUGUCUGAUUAGCUAGUUGGUGGGGUAAAGGCCUACCAAGGCGACGAUCAGUAGCGGGUCUGAGAGGAUGAUCCGCCACACUGGGACUGAGACACGGCCCAGACUCCUACGGGAGGCAGCAGUGGGGAAUUUUGGACAAUGGGCGCAAGCCUGAUCCAGCCAUGCCGCGUGUCUGAAGAAGGCCUUCGGGUUGUAAAGGACUUUUGUCAGGGAAGAAAAGCUUUGGGUUAAUACCCUGGAGUGAUGACG